rnacentral:rRNA from 1 species
GACGAACGCUGGCGGCGUGCCUAAUACAUGCAAGUUGAACGCUAAAGCUUUAACUGGUGCUUGCACCGACUUAAGUUUUUAGAGUAGCGGACGGGUGAGUAACACGUGGGUAACCUGCCCAUCAGAGGGGGAUAACACUUGGAAACAGGUGCUAAUACCGCAUAACAAUCAUAACCGCAUGGUUAUGAUUUGAAAGGCGCUUCUGGUGUCACUGAUAGAUGGACCCGCGGUGCAUUAGCUAGUCGGUGGGGUAACGGCCUACCGAGGCGAUGAUGCAUAGCCGACCUGAGAGGGUGAUCGGCCACAUUGGGACUGAGACACGGCCCAAACUCCUACGGGAGGCAGCAGUAGGGAAUCUUCGGCAAUGGACGAAAGUCUGACCGAGCAACGCCGCGUGAGUGAAGAAGGUUUUCGGAUCGUAAAACUCUGUUGUUAGAGAAGAACAGGAGAAGUAGUAACUGGCUUCUUUUUGACGGUAUCUAACCAGAAAGCCACGGCUAACUACGUGCCAGCAGCCGCCGCGGUAACAC